rnacentral:rRNA from 1 species
GACGUAGGGCGCGAGCGUUGUCCGGAUUUACUGGGCGUAAAGAGCGCGUAGGCGGUCCGGUAAGUCGGUUGUGAAAACUGGGGGCUCAACCCUCAGAGGCCGACCGAUACUGCCGGGCUAGAGUCCGGAAGAGGCGAGUGGAAUUCCUGGUGUAGCGGUGAAAUGCGCAGAUAUCAGGAGGAACACCAAUGGCGAAGGCAGCUCGCUGGGACGGUACUGACGCUGAGGCGCGAAAGCGUGGGGGAGCAAACAGG